UCAAGCAGUUAAUUUUGCGUCACUUUGGCGUUCCAUAUAGCAGACGUUUGUUUUUCAAAACAAGUCGAUUAACGAGUAGAAAAUUAUUUUUGAUACUUUAAGUUUGUAUUUGCCAUUUGGUUGUUGCUAAAGAUUUUAUACUUUUAUUGCUCGAAUAUCGAGGUCAGUUUAAAUAUGAACGACUGUCCCUGUAUGUGAUGCAAUUCUAACCAUGAGUCGAGUUAUAAGCCAAGCUCGAAGGUUUACCUUGCUUGCAGCUAAAAAUCAAUUUCGCCCCCACGCAAAAGUAAAUACUAUCCAGUUAGGUUCGUUGGAAUUAAUUCGUCGUUAUUCUUCUUCAAUUGAUUCCCAACUCCAUGAUGAAGGAUUUGCCAAACUUAAGAAGAAGUCUCCCAAGAUGAUUACAUUUAAAGAUAAAAUUGAAAAGCAUGACUUGGAUGCAAAAUUAAACAAUAUAAGGAAAUGGCUUUCUAAGGGCCAUUUUGUUAAAGCAUCCAUCUCAAAUGUUUCAAAAGAUGAGAAAAAAGUGGAACAAAUGUAUAAUGACUUGAUGAAGGAACUUGCAAAAGAAGGCAAAUUCAAAAUGUUUAAAACUAGCAGCAGAGAAACUAAAUUCAGCAUAGAACCAAUAGAGAAUAUUGAAACUGAUGAGCAAAAGAACAUAACAUAACAUGGCUAACUAUUUCCUUUGAUCCUAGUAGUUACAAUACAAGUGGAAAGAAAUUGUCACAUUGACACAUUCUCUUAAGUUUAUCAUCAUCAUCCUACAGUGUGAUAAAAUUCUUAUUUCAUGGUAAUGGUAAUCAAAGUCAACCUCUCUUAAGCUAAUGGUUAUUUUAAACAUAGUUUAAUUUCAUUUAACUUCUAACAUUAAUCACUAUAUCAGUAAUAGUUAUUAAUUCCCGAAACGUAAACGUUCAUUAAAUAACGUUCAAUUAAUUCGAUUGAAAAUUCCCGAGACCUUCGUAAAAUUUCAAGUUAGGAAGUCCUCGCUAGAUGCCGCACAGAUCAUUCUACUCCAAAUGGUCGACCACGACCAUGAUCAAAAACUACUUCAUAAUAACAAUCUACCCAUAAUUGUAUACAGUAUACAUUGUAGGUACUGAUGAAAAUGAAAAAUUCGUCAAGGAGUCGAGCUGCUUUUCUUCGAUUUCCAAUCGUUUUUGGAUUCAUUUUGGGAACAUUCUACAUGGGGUUUCAAUAUCGGAAGUUGUUCAUGAAAGACAUAGAAGAAAAGCAAAAGGAAAUGAAUAAAGAAGAUCCUAACAGUAGAGGAUUGAUCACAAGCUCAAUUGGACAGAUCAAUCGUGAAAGAAGCAAUAAGAAUGAUAAAUGACAAGAUUCAUUUGUGAUUCUUCAUGGCAAAUUUUAGAAUGGACAAAAUUUAAUACACAAAAAAAUGCAA